UACGUAGGGGGCGAGCGUUGUCCGGAUUUAUUGGGCGUAAAGAGCGUGUAGGCGGCCAGGUAGGUCUGCUGUGAAAACUCGAGGCUCAACCUCGAGACGUCGGCGGAAACCAUCUGGCUAGAGUCCGGAAGAGGAGAGUGGAAUCCCUGGUGUAGCGGUGAAAUGCGUAGAUAUCAGGAGGAACACCGGUGGUGUAGACGGCUUUCUGGACCGUAACCGACGCUGAGACACGAAAGCGUGGGUAGCAAACAGG
rnacentral:rRNA from 1 species